CUUUGUCCCCGCUGCCGUCUCCGGAAGCAGCUGGUGCUCCGGGUUGUUGUUGGAUCCCGGUGAGCAGUGGCCGCCGCUCCACGUUCAGGUGUCGGCGGGCGCGCGGGGUGCUCUCGGCCGCAUCCCGGUGUUCGUGCACCGCCUCCGGUCUCUCCGCCCUCCGUUUCGGUGUCACAUGCGCAGCUCCCGGGAGCAGCAUGGCGGCGGGCAGGGUCCGGGUACCGGCAGCAGCAGGACCUGGUGCAGCGCUGAUUUUCGCCUUUACUCUGAGAAUAACGCUGGUAACGCACCGAUGUUUCAGUGGUUGCUCGGUCCCACUUACCCCGAUCAAGGACUUUUCGGGCCCUUGUGCUGUGCCGGAUCCCAAAGGAAACAGAGAAACUGCGAAAGUGGAAGAACCAUCCAAAAGUUCUGGUGACAGCACAGCUACUGAAACAGCGUAGAGGAAGAAGCACCCAAGCAGCAGAAGCUUGUCCAUGAGAUCCCUGUGGAACCGGUUGCAAAUGAUGUGCCUGACCUGCUGGAGGGCAAACUGAAGAGCUUGAUGAAAUAGGAUGUUUGGAGUGGCUGUGCCGAGUUAAAGCUCCAGACUCCCAGAAUUGAUGAUCAGAGAUCUAGUGAAAUAGGAAAGAGAGAAAAUCAGCCAGCAGCUUGGAGUCAUUCAUCUUUGAGACCCAGCUGGAUAUCAACUGCCACCAUUUCACCAUGGUCACCCCUUCUUUUGCCAUGGAAGGACAAAGCAGAGGGAAGAAUCCAUUGUGGUAUGCAACACAAGGUUGUAAGAGAGAGAGAGAGAGAGGAGACAACCUGUCAUUUGAUCCCACCCUGUUACUUCAGAGACAAAUCAGACAUGAGCUGGAAACUUGAGCUCAAAGACUGAACUUCCUCUGUUUCUCUCUGCACUUUCCCUCCACUGAGUCCUGUUUACCUGAUCACACACUGCUCAAAUUCUGCCCCAGCACAGACUGUAUGAGAAAAACAUGAGUCUGCAAGUUUUGCCUCAUUAGAAGCAAGCAUUAAGUAAGCAUAGGAAAGCAUAAGUGAACCUAUGGAGUAGAAGGUGAGGAGAACACCUCUUCGUGGGCACUGGUUUGAAGCAUGAAGUUUAACUUCAGUUUAACUACACAAGAUUUAACUUCAUCUCAACACACUUUUGAAAAGACCUGUCAAUAUCACCAAACAACAACAGAGGCUGCAAGCCAGUGAAGGGCUUAUUAAAUCUCCUUUUCAGUUUAGGAAACAGAAACUUUCUGGGAGACAUUUAACAAGCAUGGGAAAAAAUACAGUAGGAGCAACCAAAGCAUCCUCUUUUUAUGCCAGGUUCACUGCUUUUCUGUUGCUUCUUCACUUUUAUAAAGUAGGUUCUAUCACAAGAAAAAACAGGCGGAAAGGCUGAAAGUGCUGUUUCCAGGUGAAAAUGUUUCCAUAUUGCAAGCCUGUAAUGUCACCUCAUCUUACCAUGUUAAACAGUUGAACACACAAUGCCACUUUAAUUCAAGGCUAUUGAUAAUGUUGGUAAAGGAGGAGGAAAACAGCAACUACAAUCUGAAAACAGCACUGUGAAUACCUUUGUUUCACACAUGACAAAAACAGAUGAAAAGGAAAGCAUAUUAAAUCAUGGUGCAUGUAUGAGGUGACUGUAUGAGUCACAUGUGCAUGCUGUGUUCAGCCUGAAUGUAAGAGUGUUGACUGGAGAGACACUUGGUUAUCUAAAACUGGCACAGUCCUCCACACAAUUUAUCAUAUGAUAACUCUGUGGUCACUGAUCCUGGUUAUUAGAUCUCAGAAUUUAGUCAGCAUAUUAGGCAACCAACUAUUGGAGACCUGCCCUGAUGAUUUCUAACUGAGGGACAAAGAGGUCUCAUGCCCUCUCUAACAUGUGGAGAAUAAUGCAUGGCUCAAACCAGUACCAGGAAAAAGCUUAUCAAGGCAAAGGGGAAUAUUCCAGCUCCACAACCAGCUAUAAGCCAAGCAGACAACAGGAAAUAAGAAAUAGUCGCUGUUGCCUGUUUUAACUGAUGUGGUAUUUCUCAUGCUCAGGAGGGAGACUGGAAGCAGGCAUUGCAAAGCCACCAUUGUCACAUCCUUCAUUUGUUAAUGAAGUUUUUAAGUGUUUGUUUUGUUGAAAAGGCACAAAUUAAUAAUUUCUACCUUUUGCCCCUCUCCUCAAAAAUUUUCAGACAAACUGGCCUUUUUCAAUAGAAAUCCUUUUUAGCUGAAGUGUCAUGAGUAGCUGUUACUGUGAAUAGAGGCAUGAGAGUCCAAGCCAUAGUAACAACACAAAGUGUCAACCCAAAGGCUAUUACAGUCUUGAAUGGAGUUUGAUGCCCUCCUCAGGCACCAAUGUGCAGGGGCUGGAAAAGUAGUGUUACCUCCCUGUUAAAAUAAUUCUGCUCUGGAAUGGAGGUAGCCAGGGGUUUCCCAGAAUUUCUUAUCAGCAUCUUGUCUGAUACAAGCAACUAAGGGUCUUACCACUCCCUUUGCAGGAAUAAGAUAAUUCAUAUGUGUAUUCAUUAUUUUCUGUGCAUCUUGCAAAUGUAUUGAGAGGAAUCUAAAUUUUCUCUUUAGUUGAUACCUGUACUAAAGAGAAUUGAUCUGGAAAGCAAGGUUUAAAAAUGUCUCGAUUCAUACAGUUCAGGGUUUUUUUCCCUCUUUUGCCGGAGGAACUUUAAAGCCAAAUGCCUGAUUAUACUCCCACAGAGGAAGUAAUACAGCAUCAGUGGACUCACUCCCAGUCACAGCAACCAGCCUAGCUUGAAUGUCUCAUACUGGGUACUCAGAGCUGAUUUUUAAGCCACAAAUUGUUUUAAUAUUUUUUUAAAAAUUGGGCAGUUUGCUAUCUGCCUAAAGACUGCUUCAAUUUAUCAUUAUUCAUUUCAUUAUUCAUCGGUACAUAAUGCUCUGAGGCAGAUUGCACAUACAUGCAAAGCAGAAUGUAAUGAAGGAAGGAAUCAAUGUCCUCUUGGCUCUUUGGUUUGCUACUAAACCCUGAUGACAGUUCUACUUAGGCCACACACCUCAUCAUUUAGCUUAUAAAUUCAUGGUUUCCACUACAAUCUUGCUGGGUCUUAGCAAAGGUGUAGAAGAGUCUUGUGCUCAAGCUGAGCAGUAAAUAACUGAGCUAGCAAUCAUGAGAACUGAUGUCAACAUUUCCAUGGGCAUUUCAUAGUGCUCUGUUGAACCAAGGCAUGAGAUCCCUAUUCUUUUGUUAGCUUUCCUGAGAGAGAUAUGAUUGUUAAUAUUCAUCUUCCUCUGACACGAUUUGGCUUCAGAGACUCCAUGGGAACCAGCCAGAAUAGAAUAAUAAAAUAACAGUAAAUUGCUUGUGGCAGGAAUUGUACAUAAAGUCCCUCUAAUACAUUCAGUCUCUGGACAGUAACAAGAACAUGAUAAUGAUUUUGACUUUUAACAGGUUUUUGAUGAUUGAUGAAGUAAAUACAACCUUUAAAACAAAAAACUUCUCCCUCCCCCCGUCAUGUCUGAGCUGUCAUUAGAGAAAUCAGGUCCACCUCUUUCAUGAAUUAUUAGGAGAAUAUUAUGAAAUAUUCUCUAUUUAUGCGUUGCCUUUCUCAGUGUUCCCAUUUGCCACAAGCCCAGCCAACCCAGCUUAUUUUGUUCUGGCAUUAUUAAAACUACUGUUCCCAUUGCAAAUGCUUCCAAGGGAGAUAAUAAUAACAGUCUCUUACAUCAGAUUCUGUCAGGUCCUGGAGUGAUUAAUAUUCCUGUCUUCAAGAAGCACUGUAUAAUUUAGAGAGAGCAUAUUGCUUGGCUCAUAUGCUAUUCUUCAUGGUCUGUGAUGAGUGUAUUGUGAUCUGCCAUUAUUGCAUUACUGUUUACACAGCUUGAGAUGCCUCAUAAAGCAGUUAGGAAUGAGUCAAAAUUCAUAUAGAUUCAGAUCUGGGAAAUGAGAAAACCUGACACAAAGCUCUUCAGGCUAUUUGUUCCUCUUCAUCCCCCAUGUCACAUCCCCACUAACUGUUGCUGUUACCUUUUCCCUGCCUGGGAUGCAGAUGGCAGCUGUGUUUCUGUAUGUGUGUCCAGAGAACCCAACCUUGCAAGGAUGAUCACAGACAAAUCUGUCUCCAAAGCAUCAAGGGCUCCUUACAGUUGUUUUCUAUAUAAAUACCAUCCCAUGUCUGUGGGGAGCUGCUGCUCUAUUUUGAGACAAGUCACUUCAACUCCUUGGCAAGAACUGUCCAGGAGGAAUUAAGAUAAGUUUUUAUUUUCAUGGAAAUAGCCAUAAUCUGUAUCUCCUAGGAAGCCUGGUGAUAAACUCUCUUUUGUAUAAUACAGAAAUGAGUGAAGCAAUCCUUAUUUUGAACACAAGCUGUUCAUGGAGUGUAUUCCUGAACACUGAAAGUUACAUUCUAAUUUAUACAGCUUAUAUACAGCAUGUGGGUUCAACAGCAAGUUGCCAUGGCAAACCCAAGGGCAAAUCUUGCUUUCAGAAAAUCUGGUCUGUGCCAUAAAUGACGGCCACAAGUAUCUGAUUUUCCAGUCUGGUCUAAAACUAAAAGAAUGUCUAGAAAGAUCUAGAAAGAUCUGUCUUCUCAACACCAAAGCCAGUUUAUGGCUCCUAAAUAUGUUAUAUAUAUGCACAUGUUGCAGAUUAUUUAGAUCACCUUGUUUCUAAAGUGGUUUCCCCCAGAGAUCUUUAUGGAAAUAGUCAAACCUUGCUGACAUGAUGGGGUCAAAGCUGCACAGGAAAGGAGUUGGGGAAUCUGGAAGGAUGAGUGGAUUAUCAUUCACUGACAUGCUGGAUGCAGAUGUUGGAGCAACAGAAAUAACAUUGUAAUGACUAAAGAACCCACUAAUUCCCUCUCUUGGAUACAUACCCCUAUAGACAAGUGUAGGAAUGCAGACGAGGCAACCUCCCCUCUAACCCUGGAGCAGAAUGCAAGCCGUGACCUCUGGGUCUGUAGAAUAUGCAGCAGUGGAGAGGUGGCAGGAGUGCAUCAUGUAGUGUCAGAGCAGUUGUGAUAGAGGACAGGGCUGGUGGUGUGGGAAUAUGGAGGAAAUUAGAGACCACCUCCCCCAGUCCCCAAAGUUCUAUUAUAACACUGAGGAAACCCUUGGGUAGAAUGCAGCUGCUGCUCCCAGGGUGGGAUGUAGCUGGUGUAUGUACCUGGUGAUAGUUCCCCAGGCAACCUUGGGAUAUGCCAAGGGGAACUGACCAGAGGGUGGACCGGAGUGAAGGCUCUGUGGCCAGGCUCUGUUACAGUCCUGCAGGAGCAGGAAAAUGAAGGCACCAUGUCCUCAUAAACCACACAGCAGCUGCCAAACAAGGAAAAUAAAGCAAAGCGAGAGGAUUUUACACCCAUCAGUAACAGUGUGUUUGUGACUGGAGCCACUCCAGCUCCAUAGGCCUGGAGGUAAAAAAUGAAACUUGUGUUACUAUGGAGAAGCCUGGAAAGAUCCAAGGGCCUCCUACAAGGUCAACAUGAACAACACUGACAAACAACUGAUAGUGGGAGAGGAGGCUUUGCCCUUGUGUAGGCAGAUUAGGAAAUAAAGCUAAGGAAUCUUUAAUGAGGAGAGACUAUCCUUGAAGCUUGGUAGGUCCUGGGAGGACAUGGACUUCAUCAACACAUGCUUCACACACCAGCAAAACAUGACUAGUGUGUGCUUUCAAAGGAAAUGGUGUAACCUCAUAGAAAUUUGGUGACCGUUCCAUACAUGACAGGAAGGUUACAGGAAGUUACUAACCUUAAUCAAAUUGUAUAAAUAUGUGAAAUUAGGAAAGGGAAAGCAGGGAAGACUCCGUCAUAACUUCUGGGAUCAGUCAAUGGGCUGAACCUGUCUUGUCCCCCAUAGUGACACCCACUGGGAAAGAGCUUUAUCUUCUAUGUGCCAGAUGACUAACUCACAGUAGCUGUUAUUAGUGGUUAUAGUGUGGUUGUGUAUCACUUCAGGCUUGUGUUUGCCAGAAGAUGCCAGUACUAAACACUCCCUUAGACAUAAAAGGUUGACCGAGUCUGAGACUGGGAUUGAAUUCAGCCAUACUCAGCCUCUCUAAUAUCUGAGGAUCAGCUGGAAAGCAAAGGGGAUCCUUUCUGAACCUUGUACUUCAACAGGAGGGUCUUCCCAAUACAUCUUAAGCACUGGCCUAAGGCAACCACCAAUUCUGUGAAAGCUACAGAAAUACUCUCUAUGUCUAGGAUAGGGUGGCUGUACAAGGUACACUCUAAGCCAUGAAAGAUGGCAAACCUACUUCCAAGAUGGAUAUAGGAGAGGUAUUCAAACAACAGGUACUUGUUAUUAAUCUCAGGUGCCAUCCCCAUUGCCAACAACUGGAGCUGGCUAAUUAUUUAAUGUUUUGAAAAUAGUGAAUUAACCAAAAAGUGAAACUUCAUGUGGACUAGAAUUACUCAGGUCUGACAAAUUCUUACAGUUUAAAAUAAAGGGAAGACCUCUCUGGAACACAUGAAAAAAUAACUUCAAUGCCUUUAAAUAAACCGUACAGAAAAGUUUCUUCUAAGUGUUGCCCCAGACUGAUCUUUCCAACUCCUCAUUCUGAAGGAGCAUUUUUGUUUUAAAAUCUGUCUGAAGGUGGAAGAAGUUUUGAAUACAAAAUCACAGAAAUAAAUGAAAAAUUGAAACAUUUCACUGAAUUUGAAAUCCACUUUGGGUGCAUUUUGAGAUUAUGUUUUCUGAGCUGGGUCUCUGUUCUUGCCCAAAAUAGUCAGCUUUAGUUUAGCUUAGACUAAACCAGUCUUUCUCAUAUCAUCUUCACAGGUUUUUUGACAAGACACUAAACUGAAAAAUGGAAGUUUGCCCAACUCCACCAAUGAUCUCUCAAAGCAACAAAGCUCUAAAAAACAUUAAUCGUAUGAAUUUAUUUAGCACCAUCAGACCAAGGUUAAUAUUUCACCAGAACUGGUGUGGAAAAAAAGAGAAAUUCAAUCUUGUCUAUUCAUUGAAGACAGCCAAUGUGACCCUGCAGUUUGCAAGUUUCCACUGCUGAGCUAGAAGCACAGAGUCAAACUUCCAGUCUGGCACACAUUUUUAUAGGUUCUGUAAAAGAAACACUAAUGAGCCCUGAAUAUUCAGUGGAUACAAGUCAGCACUGUCAGGAAAACCAAUUAAAACUGGGAAAUACAUGGCCAGCAGAGAUGGUCUGGUCACUGGUACAAGGCAUCCACUUUGUGGCAUGCAAGGACUCCAAGGGAAGCAUUGCAGGAAACAGAGGCAACAGAGAAAUUGAAAGCGGAUU